ensembl:processed_transcript E130307A14Rik RIKEN cDNA E130307A14 gene
GAGGAGGGGGUUCUCCCCCGCUCGGAGCGCGCGGCUGGGGAAGAAGCUGGCGGGAAGCCGGGCCGCGCGCCGAGGAAUCGAUGAUUCGGCCUGUGGGCCGGGUCACUGCGGCGGGGCCCGGGGAGCGCCGAUAGCAUGGAUAGGCUCAGAGGGGCGCAGGGUUUUGGCGGCUUCCCGAGUUCCCCUCGCCGACCGCCAUGUCACAUCUUACGGAAGAGGCGGGGGCUGCCGCGGAGAGGAUAUUUUUUGUUUUGUUUUGUUUUCACAAGAAUCACCUGGAUGCUUCUAAAGAGGAUGUCUACCAGACCCCAUGCCGCACUAAUUAGCUCAGAAGUGGGAACCCUUCGCUAGCUCCAUGUUUUGUUCACGUGACUCUCAACCUGGUGUGGCCUGGACUCCAGUCCCUGGCUCAAGGAAAGUCCAGACUGACAUAGAAAAUCCCUGCUCACCAGCCUUGACCUUGGGAGAAAGCCCCUGACCUGUGAGUGGACAGAAGGCCUGGUGGUCAGCCCAUGGGAGCCCUGGAGCGUGGACUGCUGGGGCAGCUCAGAAAAAGCUGGGAAGCCAAGACUUGACUGUCAGUCCUGGAGAAUUAGAACAUGCCUGCUAAAUUUCAGUCCACUCUGAGGAAGGGGCGGUGCCCACAAGGAAACCUAGUGGGUGGGGUUCUGGCUGGGACUCAUCUGGAGUUCCCAGGGCAGAUGCCCAGCCCCAGCUUAUAGACCAUGAUGCGGCUGGGCUUCCGUGUCUGAUUCUUAAGUGCCUCAGGUAAACAGACUCUCCUUUGCUUUGCCAGGAGGAAUGACAUUACUAUCAGCAUUGUAAAAGUCUGUGGCCUUUGGGAGAGUAAUUUUACUUCUAAGACUCUCCUCUACAGAGAAGUGUGCACACUGUUCCCAGUGGAGUCUAUAAAGAUAGCAAAGAGCAAAGACUUAAAGCAGAAUGGCUCUGGGUUUGAAGUGUUGUGUAUCUAGACAAUGAACAGCCCACCUUUAAACAAGCCCCACAUGGACUGAAGCGGAGGCAGCUCCAAAUGUAUUAGGUGACAGUGCCACAUGGCUCUGUGUGAUGGUAAGAUUAUAUGUGUACAUGUCAUCUCGAAAGGAGAAUUCGGCUUAUCUCUGGGGAGAGAGUCUGCAUCUUUUCUCAUUUGUACCGAGUAUGGAGUGUGUAUCUAUCUCUCUGUCAGAAAUGUCAAGGGAAGGGUUCACCAUUGACCUGAUGCUCACAAAGGUUAGGAACCAAUGCCAACCACAAUGCCCACCUCUACCUCCAGGAGACAGUAAACGCCUUAGAAUACAAAACCCAUAAACAACCAAGACUGUGGUGCCUGCUGGGGCUGGGCCUGAGCUGCACACAGAGGCUAGGUACCGAACAGCUGCCAUGGUAAACUGGCACAGUUAGGCACGCGGCGGGUUCACACGUCCUCUGCCCUGACUUUAAAGACAGCAGUCUUGGCCCAGCUUCCCUCGUCCCCUAUGUAUGGGCAGAGAGCUAUACUUGCUGGGUUUCCAGCUCUUGAAUUUGGACUCCUCUUCUCUUUUCUCUUUUUGAGAGAGGGUCUCACUGUGUAUUCGUGGCUGCUCUGGAACUAACUGGACCAGGCUGGCCUUGAUGUAGAUCUCUGCCUUCUAAAAAAUAAAAAUAUUUUUUAUGUG